rnacentral:Y_RNA from 1 species
GGCUGGUCUGAAGGUAGUGAGUUAUCUCAAUUGAUUGAUCACAACCAGUUGCAGAUUUCUUUGUUCCUUUUCCACUCCCACUACUUCACUUGAACAGCCAUCC